rnacentral:rRNA from 1 species
AUGCAGCAGCAGCAGCACCACAUGGUGGCGCCGUGCAAACCCCACGCAGCGCGGCGGGCGGCGCUCCCGCUGCCCGGGCCGUCGCUCCGACGAGCUUUCCUUUGCAGUCCAGCGAGGGCGGGAGCGGCGGCGUCAAAGCGGACGGCGGUGAGGACGAGGUGCCAGGAAGAGAAGCAGCAGAGCGGUGACGGCGAGAAGAAGCAGCAGGAGAAGGAGAAGAGGACGUUCCUGAGCCUGGAGGAGGCCGGGCUGGUGGAGAUGUCCGGGCUCAGCACCCACGAGCGCUUCCUCUGCCGCCUCACCAUCUCGUCGCUGAACCUGCUGCGGGUGAUCUCGGAGCAGGAGGGGGUGGCGAUCGAGGAGCUCAACGCCGGGCGGGUGUGCGACUGGUUCCUCAAGGACAAGCUCAAGCGGGAGCAGAACCUCGACACCGCCGUCCUGCACCUCAAGAACGCCUCCACGCUCUCUUCGUCCAACACCUCUGCAGCGAUGCGAAGGUUCUGCAGCGUCCCGCGCGGCCGGCGGGCGUCGGGCCCCCACGGCGGCGGCCACCCUCCGCCGGAGUGGAUCGAGCCGUACACCGACCUCGCCGACCCGAGCCCGUACACCGCCUCCUCGGCCGCGCCGCCCACCCCGUCGCCGUGGCUGCCGCGCGUCGUCUCCCUGGUCCUCCGCGCGCCGCCUGCCACGCUCGCCGCCGACCUGCGCGCCUUCUGCCGCACCUUCCUCCUGCGCCUCUCCCCGGCCUUCGUCGCCGCCGCGCUGCGCUCCCCGCAGCUCCUGCCCCACCCGCUCCCGUCGCUCCGCUUCUUCCGCGCCCUGCCCGGCGGCACCGACGACCUCGCCGCCCACCCGCAGCACCUCCUCGGCUGCUACGUCUCGCUGCUCCACUCCUUCGCGCGCGCCAGGGAGGCCACCCCCGACGCCGCCGGCCACGCGGGGCGGCUCGUCGCCGAGCUGCGCGCCCGCGGGGACGGGGACGGCCUGCUGCGGCACCUCACGCCGCCGUCGGCCGCGUCGCUGGUCCGUAGCCUCGCGGCCCUCGGCCUCGCCGACGAGCUGCUGUGGGCGUGGAACGGCAUGCGCCUCGCCGGCGUCGAGCCGUCCAGGGUCACCUACAACUGCCUCCUCGACGGCCUCGUCAACGCGGGCCUCCUUGACACCGCCGUCAACGUGUUCGACGCAAUGUCCACGGAAGACCCGGUUCGCCCUGACGUGGUCUCCUACAACAUUCUCAUCAAGGGGUACUGCCGCGCCGGGAGGGUGCAGGAUGCGAUGGCUCGGCUCGAUCACAUGAGGGAACAGGAGGAGCUGUCGCCCGACAAGAUAACGUACCUUACACUGAUGCAGUGCCAUUACAGCGAGGGCACGUUUUCACAGUGCGUGGCAUUGUUCCAAGAAAUGGAAGAGAGGGGAAUUGGCAAGGACAUUCCGCAGCAUGCAUAUGUGCUGGUGAUCGGCGCGCUCUGCAAGGAUGGGAAGCCGUUUGAGGGGAUGGCCGUGUUCGAGAGAAUGCUGAAGCGUGGUUGCCCAGCCAAAGCAGCCAUGUACACUGCGCUCAUUGAUUCAAUGGGUAAAUUUGGAAGGGAGACCGAGGCAAUGUCACUCUUUGAGAGGAUGAAGAGUAGCGGGCUUGAGCUCGACGCCGUCACAUAUGGAGUGAUUGUUAACUGCUUGUGCCGGUUUGGGAGGCUGGAUGAGGCCAUUUCAUGUUUCAGGAGUUGUGUGGAGAAAGGUAUUGCAGUGAACCCUAUCUUCUAUACAAGCCUGAUUGAUGGCUUUGGGAAAGCUGGAAUGGUCGACCAAGCACAGGAGCUCUUCGAGGAGAUGAAAGUUAAAGGUUUUGUGCCGGACUCAUAUUGCUACAACGUGCUGAUUGAUGGUUUAGCUAAAGCAGGAAGGACGGAUGAUGCUUGUGCCUUGUACAAGAGAAUGGAAGAUGAUGGCUGUGAUCAGACUGUUUACACGUAUACCAUACUGAUCGAUGGUUUGUUCAAGGAACACAAGAAUGAGGAGGCGCUGAAGUUGUGGGAUGCGAUGAUCGACAAGGGGAUCACUCCCACAGCUGCAGCUUUCAGGGCCCUUGCCAACGGGCUAUGUCUUUCUGGCAAAUACAGCCGAGCAUGCAGGAUAUUGGAUGAACUGGCUCCAAUGGGUGUGAUUCCUGAGACGGCACACGAGGACAUGAUCAAUGCUCUGUGCAGGGCCGGCAGAUUCAAGCAGGCCUGCAAAUUGGCAGAUGGCAUCGUAGGAAAGGGCCGUGAGAUACCUGGCAGGGUUCGAACAAUGAUGAUCAACGCACUCAGGAAAGCGGGGAAUACUGAUCUAGCUGUCAAGCUGGUGCAUAGUAAGAUAGGCAUUGGGUAUGAAAGAUCUGGCAGCAUCAAGAGAAGAGUGAAGUUUCAGACGCUGUUUGCCUGA